AGGAUUGACAUACAUGCAUUGCCACGUGUGAAACAGAUAGCUAGUGGGGAACUGCAGGAGCUCAGCUCAGUGCUCUGAUGACCCAGAUGGGGGUGAUGAGGGGGGUGGAAUGGAGACCCAAGAGGGAGGGUUAUAUGUAUACAUAUAGUUGAUUUAUUUCAUUGUAUAACAGAAACUAACACAAUAUUAUAAGGCAAUUACACCCCAACAAAAAAUACCUUAGUCAAUGCACGUGCAAGGGAGUGUGGCAAUGAGGCAGAGGGAGCUUGUGGGAACCCCUUUCUGCUUGCUUUCUCCUUCCUCAGUGACGUACGAAGCAGGUCCUCAGGCAGGUGAGGGAGAGAGAGGGGUGUUAGAGACUGAAGGGCAUGGGAGAGUAAGUGGACUAGCAAUACGUGGAGGGACAGAGCAGCCUCAAGGGCCCACCUGAGGCGCAUGGUUGUAGAGGGAGAACCUGUCCCUUUAUGACGGCCGUGGGACGUGACACCCAAGAGCUGGGCAGCUGUGUUUCUUAAACAUGGAGGGCAUUGCUUCGCCAUGAGAGAGAACUAACCAAGCUUUCGAAGAGCAGCAGAGACAGAAGAUGUUCGGACAGACUUAUGUGUUCGCAUCUCUGGUUCCAGCUCUUCCCGAGGCGUAGCUUUAUCCGUAACCUUCUUUCAGUUAGGUUGCUCAAUUCCAUCCCAUAUCUCAAUGUACCAACUGUAGAAACAGAAGCCCAGUUUGAGUGGCUUCAACCACCUCAUGUCUGAAACAAGGAGCAAGGGUGGGCCAUAUACAGUAGAUCACAAAGGCAUCAGGGACCUAGGCUGCUUCUCUCCUUCUGGCUCAUUACUUCUGAGUAAUGACUUCUAUCCUCAUGGUCAUAAGAUGGCUGCUGGAGUUCCAGCUAUCCUUUCUACAUUCUAGAAAGAACAGAAAUAGCAAGGGACGAGAGGGCACUCACUAACUGGUUUAGCACCAAAGGCUAUCUUGGAAGCUCCACAAAAACAUCUAUUGCUCUUUCUUUGAUCACCUCAAACUACAAGGAAAGUUGGGGACCAUUGUUUUCUGCUUGGGCAUAUCAUCAUCCUAAAUAAAUCAGGAUUUUUUUUAUCAAGCAAGAAGAGAAGAACAGGUAUCUGGCAGGCAGCUUUCAGACUCAAGCAUAUCCACUUUUCCCUUGAGUCUUUUUGAAAUGGAUUCCUGAGGUAUACAAGCAAAAGGGACUUGAGCUACACUGAGGAAUAACAACAGGUACAAGGUGAAUUGAGAUGAGGGUGCAAAACAGAGGCUGCAAACAGGACGGAAACGAGUUUGGGGUAGAAGGCUGAAGCUACAACUUAAAGACACAUGGACUAGACAGAAACACUGGCAACACACUGAACUUCUGAGAGGGGUGAGGGUAAAGUUAAUAAAACAAAAGAGAAUUUGGACAAGAAAAUGUUGAGAUAAAAUACACCAGUUCAGUUCAGUUCAGUCGCUCAGUCGUGUCUGACUCUUUGCGACUGCGUGGACUGCAGCACACCAGGCCUCCCUGUCCAUCACCAACUCCCAGAGCUUAUUCAAACUCAUGUCCCUCGAGUCGGUGAUGCCAUCUAACUAUCUCACCCUCAAUCGUCCCCUUCUCCUCCAGCCUUCAAUCUUUCCCAGCAUCAGGGUCUUUUCAAAUGAGUUGUCUUCAAAUCUUUUUUUUUUUUUUUGGUAAGAUGGUAUCCCUUUGAAUUUUUAUUAAUGGACUUUUUUGCUAACUCAUUCUAUCUUCUCAUCAUACCCAAGAAAAUUGUCACGUUUUCACUAAUCAUUGUUUGAAAAAAAUCCAAAACGACAAAAAACUUCCAUGAAUUAGGUAGCAUUUUUCACUUAUACGGUACAAGAGCAUAUAUACACAUUUGAUAAAAACAGAUCUAACCUUUAUUUAUUCAGUCGACAGAUGAUGGAGCUUUAAAGAAAUCGGACUUCCUAAAAGCUGGAUUUCAUGAGACAGUUCUUGAAUCACUCCAGUGGAACCCUGUCAGUGAGAAACUGAAGUCCUGGGAAAGGAGUGGCCUGUCCAAGUCAGUGCUUGGUUUAGGGGUGACCUGUGACCUGAAGCUGGCUUAAUCAGAAAGAAUAUCUGGACCUUUGAGGAGAAUGCUGGGAAAUCCUGACCUUCCUUCUCUUGGGCUAGAAAUGAACAAAAGAUACAAUUAGUCUGAGCAACUGAUGCCAGGCUGUGACAUGAAAAGAGAAACUCAGGAUGAAGCUGGCCUCAUGAAAGGCAGAGAGGAGAGAUGGAAAGAAAAGCAGUCCCAGGACAUAGUUCUGAGUUGCUGGAUCAAACCUCACCUGAUGUCUUUUCUCUGGAACAUUUGGUUAUAUGAUGAAGUAAACUCUUAAUUUUAAAGACAUAAUAAAUGUUUUAUUACUUGUAACCAAAAUAGUCCCAGGUGAUAAAUAGAUGGCCAAAGAUUUGUGUGACCAUAGGAGCUUGCCUCAGUUCUAUCUCACUCCUGGUUAGAUGGGCUGAGCCCAAGGCGGGCAGCCUCUAUGCUUGGCUACAUGCCCAGCCAGGCCUGGAUAGUCUGAAAGCUGAGCCUUUUCUGGAGUUAAGAUCUCCCUAAUUGGCAUUUUACACGGCCAGUUCAGGGAAAUGGGUUGGCUUAUUAUGUGG
ensembl:lncRNA